rnacentral:rRNA from 1 species
UACGUAGGGGGCAAGCGUUGUCCGGAAUUAUUGGGCGUAAAGAGCGUGUAGGCGGCCAGAUAAGUCCACUGUGAAAUCUCGAGGCUCAACUUCGAGCUGUCGGUGGAAACUAUCUGGCUAGAGUCCGGAAGAGGAGAAUGGAAUUCCUGGCGUAGCGGUGAAAUGCGCAGAUAUCAGGAAGAACACCAGUGGCGAAGGCGGCUCACUGGCCCGGUACUGACGCUGAGGUGCGAAAGCGUGGGGAGCAAACAGG